AGUUUGCUUUUUUGCCUCAGCGACAUCAUUUUCCACUCGAAUUUUUCUCAAUUCAAGUUGGUUUCGUCGAUUCUUGAAAUCUUCAACAAUUUUGCCAAAACGGAAAAAAUAACUGAGAUAAGGUGAUGCGUAUUCUGUUGCCAGGUUCCCCAUGGUAUUGCUUGCAACAGCGAUGCCAAGUUCAGCCAUUCUUUGAUGAUCUGAUAGUGAAGAGCAAUUUCUAUGAGUAAAAAUUUUACAUAGAGACAAAAACAAUUAGGAAAUGUUUGGAAUGUAUCUUACCCUGGCAACAAUACUUUUUUGAAAUAUGUGAAUCACAAUAGAACAAUUGUCGAUCAACCAACUUGAAAAUUGAGAAUGCUGCACAAGCAGAAAUUAUUCACUGGUCACCAACUCCGGAGAUCAGGAAAGAAAAAUUCAGGAGCAGUCGAAAGCAAAAAAUAGAGUAAGGGUAAUUAAAGAAAUAGAGCAAAGAAAUAGUCUAGAGUUGCAUGGUUUUCUUCUUUUAAGAUAGGAAGCAGAGAAAUCAAAAUACUAAAGCUAGCAGCUAUGGGCUUUUUUUUUUUUUUUUGACCUUUGUGGAGCCAAGGAAAGGAAAAGUAGGAAUCAGAGAACAGAUUUAAUCAAAAUACCGAGGAAAUAUAUAAGAAUUUUCAGGAGCCAAGAUCAAGGGACUGACAAAGUCGGUGAAGUUUCUUUGAGUUCAAAGAUAACUGAAGGCCAAGGAAUUAAUGCAUACAAAUAAUUCUGCUUUUCAUAGCAAAAACAGUCCUUAAAUAUACAAAGUAGGAACUCUGAGGCAGGAGGAUUUUUUUUUUCUUUUACAUGUUAGAGUAAAAGCAUAAUAUUAUCAUUCUAUAAAAUAAUCUCUUAACAUUCAAAAUAUCUAUAUAUUUAGUUUUUUCUCAAUAACUACAGCUUUUAUUUGACAAUGUUGUAAUUUGGAAAUAGAAAAUAUCUAGUCAAAUGUAAGACCAAAUAAAUAAAUCAUAGAAGAGAAAGAUGAACAUUUACAUACCAAGGAAAGCUAUAGAUGAAGUUUCAGGAGCAAGACAGAGCAGCUUCUAUUUUGAUCCACGCAAUCUCACAAAGUCGGUGAAGUUCGUUUUUUAUCUUUUUAAGUUCAGAAAAAACUGGAGUAGAAAUAAACUUUGCACUGCAAUGAUCAGAAGGCCAGCGAAUUAAAAAAAUAUUAGACUUUCACUUAUCUUCUGUUUAAUGCAUAUAGAUAAUUCUAUUUCUGACAGAGCAAAACAGAAAAAGCAAAGUAAACAGAGCAACUCAGAUGUUAAGAAUAUAGAAAGUAGAAACUCUUAAGCCAAGAGGAAUUUUUUUUCUUUCCCUAAAACAAAGAGAUGAGCUUAUGUAAGCAAAUUAAUAUACUGUAAAAGGUGCUGAAAUCCUUUCUUGAAACUUACCUCUCUAUUCUCACCACUUGAAUGUGAAAGGGUAAGAGACACACAAAGUUUCUAGCUCUCUGCUUCACACAAAUGCCAUGGGUGUAGUUUAACUGUAGAAAAACAAAACAGUUAAUUUGGACAUAGAAGAUAAUUAAGUGCCGAUUUUGCAUGUAAAGUUUGCAGAUGUAUACUCAAUUGCAAAAACCAAGACAAAAAUAAGCCAUGGAAGAAAAUGAUGCAUAUAUAUACCAAGGAAAGAUGAAGUUUCACGAGCCAAGGCCAAGCUUUUCAUAAGUGAUCGAAGAAAACUCAAGUAGAAAUCAAGUUUGUACUGCAAUAACCAGAAGCCCACUAGCAAAGGGAAUUAAGAAACAACAAAUAUCUGUCAAUCUAAGAUGAAAAGAAUAACUUAAUUUGACAAUAGAAAAUACGUGUCAAUGCAUCUAAACUUUCAAAUAUCUAAACUCAAAUGUAAAGCCAAGACAAAUAAACCACAGAAGAAGAGGAUGAACAUUUACAUACCAAAGGAAAUAUACAUGAACUUUGAGGAGUCCGGACAGAGCUUCUAUUUUGAUCCAGCCAAAAUGUAUUACAGACACUGACAAAGUCGGUGAAGUUUUUUUUUUUUUUGAGUUCGAAGAAAACUGAAGAAGAUAUAAUAAACUUUGCACUGCAACGAUCAGAAGGCCAGGAAAUUAAAAAAACAAAAAGACUUUCACUUAUCUUCUUUAGAAUGCAUGCAGAUUAUAAUUCUCCUUCUGAAUACAAAAACAGUAGUUGAACAUAGAAAGUAGAAACUCUCAAGGCAAAGACUUGUUUUCUUUGGAAUCUCUUUUUCUUUUUAUUGUUACUAUUUUUUUCUUGCUCAAAUGCUUAGUGGAAGACAAGGUCCCCAAUGUCUUUUGCCUAAUCAUUGACUAGUUCUCUCUCAGACAGAUAAGAAAAGAACAAAGAAAAAAAAAAGAAAAGGAUGGAGUCAUGGAGAUGCUCUGCUAAGGACCCUGCUGUUUGGCUUUCCAGGAAGUGUUAUGGAAAGAGGAUGGAAAUCUAUCUUCUUGGUUUAGUUUCUUCUAUGCUUUGCUUUCAUGAUCUUAUCUUUUACUAUUUUGUAAGCUUUUUGAAUAUUAAAAGUUAUGAAUAAAAUAAUUUUUACAAAUAAUUCUAAAUUUGUUAUAAGUAAAAAGUCAAGUAUUGUCCAACCAAGUAAUUACUUGAGCAAUAUGUAAACCUUUAUCAUGAGUAAGAAUAAUUUUAUACAUGUAUUUAUGUCAUGUCAAGGUUCCGACGCAGUAAACAGUAGCUUGAUUAUCCAGCUGAUACAUUCUUUUAACAUCUCUACAUAUAUUUAUGGUCUUUGCCUCAAGACAUAAAGAAAUUAGUGGAGAGUAAUUGACAUAAGUGGCCAUUUUUUAUUGAAUUCAAGGAAAAUGACUUCACAACUUCUAUCAUGACUUUGCAUUGAGUUAUGCUAAUGAAGCACAGUUUUCUCUAUACCAAAUUUACCAUGAUUUCGAAAGCAAGUUCACACCUUCAAUUCAGUUUUUCCUUUUGGUCUUACGGAUUGGAGAAGAAAACUGAUCUAUCAAGAGUUGUCUCUUUUUCUUUAUCAGUAUUUUCUUGAUGAUAUGAUUUUUCGUUGUCAUUUCCUGUCUUCUUGUUGCGUACCCUUCUAUUUUGCUUCAAACAAUUUUUUUUUUUCAUUUUCUCAUUAAUUAAGAAGAUAAAGAUUACCAAUGGGACAUAGACAUCAUUUCUAUCAAACCUUUUGAAUUAUUGAUCUAAUCCCUUUAUUAUUGCGUUUUAGAUUUUUGUCAUUUUGCAAUCAUUUUUCCCUUGGAGGUCCAUUUAUUUCUGACUUUCUUGCUUGGUAGGUUUAAUGGCUUUCAUGGAAAAAUACUUGCCCUAUUUUUUUUUUUUUGGGAUCAAAUUCUGUGUUUAAGGGAUUGAAGCUUUACACUUCGUUUAACACAAGGAAAAAUGGCGAAAUACAUCAAACGAUUCACACAGUGCAAGGAUCAUGUUUUGCAUGGAGAGAAGUAGAGGGUCAAGGUACAUCUCUUUAUAUUUAUGGUCUUUGCCUCAAGACAUAAAGAAAUUUGUGGAGAGUAAGACAACUGGCGAGUUUUUAUUGAAUUCAAGGAAAGUGACUUCACAACUUCUAUCAUGACUUUGGAUUGACUUAUGCUAAUGAAGCAUAGUUUUCUCUAAACCAAAUCUAUCAUGAUUUUAAAAGCAAGUUCACACCUUCAAUUCAAUUUUUCUUUUUGGUCUUACGUCUCUUUUUCUUAAUCAGUAUUUUCUUGGUUAUAUGCAUUUUCGCUGCCAUUUCCUGUCUUCUUUUUGCUUAUCCUUCUAUUUUGCUUCAAACAAUAAUUUUUUUUCAUUUCUCAUUAAUUAAGAAGAUAAAGAUUACCAAUGGGACAUAGACAACAUUACUAUCAAAGCUUUUCAAUUAUUGAUCUGAUCCCUUUAUUAUUGUCUUUUAGAUUUUUGUCAUUUUGCAAUCAUUUUUCCCUUGGAGGUCCAUCUAUUUCUGACUUUCUUCCUAGGUCGGUUCAAUGGCUUUCAUGGAAAAAUACUUGCACUUUUUAUUUUAUUUUUUGGACUAAAUUCUGUGUUUAAGGGAUUGAAGUUUUACACUUUGUUGAACACAAGAAAAAAUGGCGAAACACAUUAAAUGAUUCAUAUAGUGCAAGGAUCAUGUUUUGCUUGGAGAGAAGUAGAGGGUCAAGGUACAUCUCUAUUUUUUGAACCAUCAUUUACAGAUACUUAGGAACGUUUUCCUCCAAGGCUGGUAAUCUAAUACAAGAAAGAAGAUCAUCUAAGCCUAAUUUGUUCUAAUCAAAACUAUUUUGAAUUAAUUUCCACUAAAAAAAUUAAGAGCUUCAAGGAAUAACCCGACCUAUCAAACUUGAUUUAAAUUCAAAAAUGGUAUAGAAUUGAUCAGUGUAUUAAUAUGUUAUAAAUUGUUAUGAAAAUUACUCAAAAACAAUAAAGAUAAAAUUCAGCAAAAUCAAGCAAACAUAAAAAUAUAAAAAUUUACAUGAUUCGACUUGUUGUCUACGUCUAUGGAGUAAAACUGUAAAACCAAGACAAAUAAACCAUAGAAGAAGAGGAUGCAAAUCAAAAGAAAUAUACAUGAACUUUUGAGGAGCUUCUAUUUUGAUCCAGCCAAAAUAUAUUACAGACAUGCACUGACAAAGUCGGUGAAGUUUUUUUUUUUUUUUUGAGUUCGAAGAAAACUGAAGUAGAUAUAAUAAACUUUGCACUGCAACGAUCAGAAGGCCAGGAAAUUAAAAAAACAAAAAGACUUUCACUUAUCUUCUUUAGAAUGCAUGCAGAUUAUAAUUCUGCUUCUGAUAACAAAAACAGUAGUAAUAUAUAGAAAUUAGAAACUCUUAAGGCAAAGACCUGUUUUCUUUGGAAUCUCUUCUUCUUUUUAUUGUUAGUAUCUUUUUCUUGCUCAAAUGGUUAGUGAAAGACAAGGGCCCCAAUGUCUUUUGCCUAAUCAUUGACUAGUUCUCUCUCAGACAUAUUAGAAAAGAAAGAAAGAAAAGGAUGGAAUCAUGGAGAUGCUCUGCUGGUUGGCUUUCCAUGAAGUGGCAUGGAAAGAGCAUGGGACUUGCGAGGAUGUUAAUGUAUAGAAAAUUUUUGAAAUUCUGCUUCAAAUGUCUUUGAAUGAAAAACAUAAACUUAGUGUUAUUUAUGAUUCUUUUGUAAUUAAGUAAUACUUGGUAAAUUCUCCUCUAAUAAUGAGUAAUGACCUACUUUUCAAAGCUUUUUUUGAACUUGUUGCCUGCCUAAAUCUUUUAAGUUGGACAUAGAAAAUAAUUAAUUUAGUGCCAAUCUUGGGUGUACGACAAUCACAGAGCCAUAGAAGAAAACCAAGAAAUGAUGUAUACUCAAAUGCAAAAACCAAGAGCCAUAGAAGAAAAUGAUGCACAUAGAUGGUUGAGUUUUAAGUUGACUAGAAUUGUAGAUCUUAUUUGAUUAGGAUUCUUGUUUGUGUACAACAUUGAGUAGUUGUAUGGUUUUAAACUUCUUAUUCCACAUUGAGUCAUAAUCACAUUCUACUUUGGACUUUUAUACUAUAAAAGUGGAUAUUUAGGUUUUAGAAUUGCAAGUAGUGCUUUGAGAGCUUUAGAGAGGGAACACCUUGUAACUCUGUUUUUUACUCUAGGUGGAGCUAGAGUGGUUUGGGUGAGUGUUCUUAGGAGGUUAUUGAGAAAAAGUGUGCAAGGGAUCUCGGGUUGGUUUGGGGAACCAUAAAGGUCAAUUUAUUGUACUUUAAUUUCUCAAUAAUAGAAAGAACAGUUUCAAUCCAUGGACGUAGGUAAGAGACCAAAUCACGUAAAUUCUUGUGUUUUUCUGUUUGCUUAAUUUCUCUAGGUUUUAUCUUUGUUGUUUCUUAGGCAAUUUCCACAACAAACUAGUAUCAGAGCUUCGAGUUCAAUAAAUUCAAGAUUUAAUAAAGAUGUCGAAAGUUACUAGUUCUACAAAUUUUUCAAUUGAGAAGUUUAAUGGGAAGACUAGUUUCACGCAGUGGCAGAGAAGGAUGAAAGACCUCCUUGUGCAGCAAGGUUUAAUGCGCCCCUUGCUAGGAAAAGAGGAAAGGCAACCAAAUGACAUGAAGGAUGUUGAAUGGGCAGAGUUGGAGCAAAGGUGUGUAAGCACUAUUCGACUUUGCAUUGGAGAUAACGUGUUUAACCAUGUUAUUGAUGAGGAUUCUGCUCCAAGGUUAUGGGCAAAGUUAAAGAAGAUUUACUUGGCGAAAAGUCUUUCCAACAAGUUGCAGCUUAGGUGAAAGUUGUAUCGCUUAAAGAUGGAGGAGAAUAGAGACCUCAUGAAGCAUAUGAACGAAUUCAAUGGGAUCAUUGAUCAGUUGAAGAAGGUUGAUGUGAAGGUGGAGGAAAAGGAAAAGGCACUGUUGUUCCUAGCUUCGCUUCCAGACUCCUUUGAGGUACUUGUGGAAUCUCUAAUAUGUGGGAUAGAUACAAUAACGUUAGAAUAAGCACAAGCAACGUUAAUGUCUCGUGAAGCCCGAAAGAAAAGUAAAGAAGGGGAUAGAGAUCCAAGUGGCUUGGCAUUGGUAACUGAGGUUUAUAGGAGGAAGUCAACCGGUAAGGGAUUUAAGGGUGGCAAGUCUAGAUCCAACAAUGUUCAGUGCUUUCAAUGCAAAGGGUAUGGACAUAUUAAAAUGGAUUAUCCUACAAAAAAGGAUGAAAGUAAUGAGAACAAAGGUGAGUGUGCUUUCAUUGCUGAAGGUGAUGAUUGUGAUGUCCUUACAAUUUCGAAAAAUAUGGAUGCAAAUUCUGAUUGGUAUUUAGAUUCUGCUUCUACUACUCACAUAUGUUAUCAAAAAGAUUGUUUUGAUUUACUUCAAGAAGGGGUGGCUGGGAAUUUGAGUUUGGGUAAUAAGUCAAUAGUGAAGGUCAUGGGUCUUGGAGUGGUGAAAAUCAAAAUGUUUGAUAGGGUUGUGUGCUCUUUGGGUGGUGUGGCCUAUGUCCCAGAGAUGCGUAAGAAUCUAAUAUCAUUGAGCCUGUUAAACUCUAAAGGGUAUGGAUAUUCUGCUUGUGAUGGAGUGGUAAAAGUCACAUAAAGCAACAUGGUCCUAAUGAGGGGGAAUUUGCAUAAUGGCUUAUAUUGUCUAAAAUGUGAGGCCUUGAAGGGAUGAGAAUAGUGCACAGGAGAUGGUAGCUACCAAAGUGAGAUUUCAUUUGCUGAGGAGUUGAUGAAAGGUUCCCAUGGUGUAGACGAUGGUGAAAGGAUGAAAAAUCUUGCCAAUAGUGAAUUAGGAGGGUCGUCGAGGUCCCUUUCCGAAGUCAAUUAGUGCCAUUGACUUGACUGCUACACAUGUGCAUUGGCUGUUUUGUGGAAUCGAGUGUUGGACCAUGUUUGAUUCGAUAUGUGUAGUCGUGGUAAUUAUAAAGGCCAAUGAUUUGGAAAGUCUUAUGCUUGGAGAGUUGUUCAAGGUGUUGGAAAGUAGGUGGAGUUAGGAAAUUGCAAAUAGGUGCAACUGGUGGAAGAAGUUUAAGGAGUUUGAAUUCAAGUCAAAGGUGGAGAUUUGUUGAGUUUUAGAUUGACUAGAAUUCUAGAUCUUAUUUGAUUAGGAUUCUUGUUUGUAUACAACAUCGAGUAGUUGUUUGGUUUUAAACUUCUUAUUCAACAUUGAGUACUAAUCACAUUCUACUUUGGACUUUUAUACUAUAAAAGUGGAUAUUUAGGUUUUAGAAUUGCAAGUAGUGCUUUGAGAGUUCUAGAGAGAGAACACUUUGUAACUUUGUCUUUUACUCUAGGUGGAGUUAGAGUGGUUUGAGUGAGUGUUCUUGGGAGGUUAUUGAGAAAGAGUGUGCAAGGGAUCUCGGGUUGGUUUGGGGAACCAUAAAGGUCAAUUUAUUGUACUUUAAUUUCUCAAUAAUAGAAAGAACAGUUUCACUCCGUGGACGUAGGUAAGAAGUCGAACCACGUAAAUUUUUUUAUUUUUCUGUUUGCUUAAUUUCUUUAGGUUUUAUCUUUAUUGUUUCUUGGGUAAUUUUCAUAACAUAUAUUUUGGCUGAAUUACGAUAAUCAAAGAAACAAGUGGAAAUCAAGUUUGCACUACAAUAAUCAGAAACCCGCUAGCAGAGGGAAUUAAGAAACAUCGAUUUAUUCUUCUUCGUCCAGCGGAAACACUUCAAUACAAGAGAGAAAAUUUUGAAUAAAUGAUGUGAUCGUUCUAUCAUUGUCCUUUCUAUUUUUGUCAUUUUGCAAUCAUUUUUCCCUUGACGUCCAUUUAUUUCUCACCGACUUGUUUCCUCUGUUUAAUGGCUUUCAUGGAAAAAUACUUUACCAUAUAUGGUACAAGGGAAGAGAGAUUCCCGGAGCUUUCAUAUAGAUUUUUGUUCCCUUUAUUUACUCCAACUCCCCCUUUACUUACUCCUUAUUGAUGAAAAGGCGAGACAGACUCACAGCUUUUGUCACGACCCGGAACUCCCAUCGGGCCCGUGACAACCGCCGCGACGUUUAGAUAGGCACUCAUUAUCCCGAAUGCCGAUUGGAACCCCGCAAGGCUUAGCAUCAGCUUCAGCAUCUCCCCGGUGAGCGACAGUUAUUAAAUCUUGCAUUUAAAAAAAAUCAUAAGUCGUUUCCAAAUCAAAACAAUAAAAUAUUAUUUUUUGGCUCAUAGGGAUAUUUUUGUCAUUUUUCUUCGAUAAUACCGAAACUCGCAAAAAACAUGGUGUAAAAGCUUAAUAUGUUCAUACAUAUUUUAAAUCAAAUAACUAAAGUAUAAAAUUACUUUUACAAUGACACGUGGACCCCUAACUAACCAAUAAGAUGCGAGUCUGUGAACCUAUAAUUUUGACAAUGCAAGGCUAACUGAAGUCCUUGAUGUAAUCGGCUAUCUACCGGCUAUCCCGAACCUGAAAUGUGGGGAAUUGAGGGUGGUGAGAUUAUAAAAUCCUAGUGAGUAAACAUACACUAUCUAAACUAUCGAAAGGCAAGUAAAUGGAGACAAUUAAAAAAUAAUUAACUUCAGCAAAUUUUUCACAUCACGAAUAUUCAUUUCAACCAAAUAAUCAAUAUGGCUCGUGAAUUACUCAAAACUUAGCUCAUGCCAAAUCUUGUACUCGAUGACACCUAGACCAGGGGUAUCUAACCGAGCCCUCCAAGGUUGUUAAAAAUUCAUAUUUCGCAUAAAUCAUAUUUUUAUUUUGAAACAUAGCCAUUCCUUGGCGUUGGCUGAGUCUCACUCUCACGCGGUGGUCCACGUUAAGUGCACUCAAAAAGCCCACCUCAGGAGAUACUCUACGCGCCUCUACGACUGAUGUGAGAAUAUAAAGGAGUUUACCGUGCCCCUCUAAUAGGCUGGCCCACGGAUCCCCCCACCACUGCAGUAGCUAAUCUUUUUAUCUACCACCUGAUUUAUAAAAUCUUUUUCUGCAUGACAUGGCAAUUUGUCGCAACCUAGCCUCUCAAGGCUAAAUACACAGUACAAAUAAUUCUAACACCAAAAUCAGUUUAGCCAUUCAUGCUCAUUUAUUGUCAUAAGCCAUUCAAUUUAAAACCAUAAAUUUACAACACAAGUAGGCAGUCUCCAAUUACUCUAUUUUCAAAACCAGUAUUCGAUUUUUUAGAAAAUUUAUAAAAUCAUUUUAUAAAAUCACAAUUUCUCUUAAAACAUAGCAAUUUACUAUUUAAACCCAUUUUCCAUAAAAUCGCACAAUUGUAUAAAACUACUCUAGAUAAUUAAGACGAUAAUAAGUUUACUCACAUUUUUCGAAAAUUAAAUUCGGGUACUCCAACUAUUACUCCUCGAGUGCGAUUUCUUUGCCCUUGCUAGAGGAUUCGCCACCUUGACAAAUUGUACAAUUAAGAGGUUUACUACUUUGAUACUAAACCAAAAUAAACUAAUUUAUACUACUAAUGCAUGAUAUGAAGUGCAAAAUGUCUAAAUUUUACCUAAACAAGAUGUUAGCCUAUUUCGGUCUUUUACCCGAUAAAUCGAUAUACGCAUCCGUUUAAACUCCAAAUUAAUUUUUUUUAAUUUCUAUACCUCAAUUCCACCCAAAUUGACUUAAUGUUCCUCAGUGUGGUGCAAAUUAACAGUCUUGAUAGCAAAUUACGAAAAUACCCCUAGUGGGUAAAAAUUCAUAUUUUUACUCCGAAAAUUCCCAUUAUUUUUCUAGGCUCAUAAUUCAUCAUUAUUUAUUAUAAUUCCUCAAAUAAACAUCAAGAUCAGCAGCCAAUAUUCUCCUAUAAAAUUCAGCAUAAUGGGUUUCAAUGGGAGAAAAUUAUUUCUCUAGCUUAUUUUUGCUAUAUUUCAAUUUAACCUAACUAAAAUCACUUAAUUCAAUUAAAAUCAACCAAAACUCAAGUUCAAAACUCAUACAUGGAGGUUUGGCCAGCAUGGGUGUCCAUACCCACUUUCUAAUUUUGCAUGGAAAUGAGAAAAAAAUGCAUGGGUAGUGAAAAUCACAAGGAAAAUCAAUGAAAUUUACCUUUUUAAUGCUUGAUUUCUUGAUUUCUCUUGAUUUUCCCCAAAUUUUUUGGUAGGGUUCUUAUUUGUUUUUUUCCCCCUUUUCUCCCCUGGUUUGGACAGCUGAAGAAGAUGAGAAUUCUGGAAUUUUUACCUUUUUAAAGGCUAAAAUAAUAUAAUAUUAUUUUAUUCAUUUUUUUAAUGUUUUAUUAAUUCCUUAAAUUCCAGCCAUCCAUUUAUUUCCAAAUUUCACCAUACACUUGUCCCACCAUAUCCAUAGCUUAGAUAAAAUUCUCAGACUUAUCCAAUCAGAUUCGAAAAAUGAGAAAGAAAGAAAAAGUGUGGAGUAAUUUUUGAAAUUUACACUUUUGCCCUCGUAAAAGUCAAAAAUUACAUUUUUACCCCAAAAACUGAAAAAUUGCCCAUAGACAUAUUUUUCAUCCCUUAUACUCAUACCAUUCUCCAAUUUGUCAAAUGUGAUCUAAAUUCUCUCAAAAUCUCAAAUUUUGUCCGCGAGUGAAAAAAUUACGAUUUUGCCCAUACACUCCAGAAAUAACCGAAAUUAAACUUUUUCACUGCCAAACCCUCAGAUUAUACUCCAAUACUCAAAUCAUACUCCAAUAAGUUAAAUGUGGCCAAAAAAAUCUUUUCUCAAAAUUCUCAUUUUAUCCCCAGGUGGCAAAUGACCAUUUUGCCCCUAGAUAGUGAAAAUUUCAGUUUGACUCCAAAUUGAUCCUCGAACUCCGAAUUACCAUUUUGAGUCAUCCCUGAACUGUGAAACUCUUAAUUUCACCUCAAAAUUCCUAUUUGAACUAGUUCGAGGCUUAAUCGACUUAAUGGUACCAUAAGGGGUAAUAUCGUCUUUUAACGAUUUCUCGAACUUCCUAAACAUGCAAACAUUCUAUUGAGUAUAUAAAUAACGUCGUAAUUAUUUUAUAGAACAGGGUUUGACAGCUUUUUCUGUGUCAUUGAUGCUUAGUUAGAAUGACUAAUCGACGGCUUCCAAUUAUGUUGCUAUUUUCGUAAUUUUUUGAUCUACCUGGUUGGUUUAAUGGAUUUCAUGUUAAAACACUUGCACUAUUUAUUUUAUUGUUGAGCUAACUUUUGUGAUCAAAUUAUGCACCCAAUGGAUUUAAAAAUAUUAUUUGAUGAAUGUACAAAAAUAGGUAGCAAUGAACAUAUAGCAUGUUAGUACUGACUAUUGAGAUUGUAAUCGAUUAUUGUGAUAAAAUAUUAUGACUGAAAACAAACGGAUAACAAUCUGAAAUGCCUGUAGGAACCUGCUGAAAUGCAUACCUAGCUUUUUGACCACGCUUGUCAUCUGAAAAAUGGGAAAGCCCAAGCAAUAAUAUACCUAUUUUCUUCUUUUUCUCCUCCUUGGAGUUAAAAGAGAAGCAAAAAUGAAGAUAAAUCCUUCUUGACUUGGAAGUUGCAUGUGGGAACAAUGUCAAAACUUAAAAAUGGAAAAGAAGGAAAUGAAGAAGGAAAGUAUGCACGGACUAAGCAACUGGCUGCACAUUCUUAGAAUGGAACACAAUAUUAAUGUCACCAUUAACUGAGAGUAUAUUGUCAUUGACUAAGUUUUUUGGCUAAUUCCCUCUCAAAGAAAAAAAAAAUAAGAAUGGAGAUGCUCUGAUAAAGAAAAUUCUAACUAAUGUAAAAUUAUUGGCUUCAUGUUUGUGAUCCUAAUCAUAUUAAUGUCUUCUCUAUAAAAAUUUUAAAAAAUUAAAUUACUUUAAUGAUGCAUAAAUUUCUCAUAAAUUUAACAUUAUUUAAAAAGGUAAUUUAGUUGACACCUUUGAUUGUCUCUUUUGUAAUUGAGCAUUACUCAGUAAAUUUUAAAAAAAUUUUGUGAACUUGUUGUCUGUCUAAAUCAUUUAAUUUAGACAUAGAAAAUAAUUUAAUGUCAAUUUUACAUGUAAAGUAUGCAGAUGUUUACUCAAAUGCAAAAACCAAGAGCCAUAGAAGAAAAUGAUGCACAUAUAUACCAAGGAGAGAUGAAGUUUCAGGAGCCAAGGCCAAGCUUUUCUAUAUUGAUCAAAGAAAACUCAAGUAGAAAUAAACUUUGCACUACAAUAAUCAGAAGCCCACUAGCAGAGGGAAUUAAGAAACAACUGUUAAUUCUUCUCUUCGGCUAGCAAAAGCACUUGAAUAUAGAAAUUUUUGAGUAAGUGAUAUGAUCCCUCUAUUAUUGUCCUUUAAUUUUUGUUAUUCUGUAAUCAUUUUUCCAUUGAGAUCCAUUUAUUCUCACCUACUUGCUUGCUCUGUUUAAUGGCUUUCAUGAAAAAAUACUGUAUCAUAUAUAAUUAAGAGGGAGAUUUUCAAAACUUUCGUGGUUUAGAGAUUAGUAUAAUAAAUAAAAGAAUAUGUGACAAUAUUUUAAUCUAAUUUGUGGUUUAGAAACUAAACUGAAAAUGUAUAAAAUAAUAUUCUUAAAAUUAUUCUGAAAAGGCACUCUAUAGGUAAAUCUCUACUUUUUGAACUAUCAUUUACAGAUCAUAUUUUUUUUUCCCCCACAUUUGAUUCCUUGUUCUUUAUCAGAAAAUCAUGCCUCUUCCUAAUCUCUGUAUCUGUCUCAUUAUUUCAUUGGGAGGGUAAAAGAAAAUGAAUCCCCCUUUCUCCUCAAAGAGAAUGUGAUAGUGGGUCCACACUCUGAAAAAUUGUCUGUAUGAAGGAAGAAAUAGUUUUGGUUAGUCGCGACCUACUUUCUGAAAAAUUGCUGGACUCUUGUCCUGAGAGAAUUAAGUUUAAGGUGGGAACCGAAUUUAUCAAAGCAAAAGGGAGAUUCUCGGAACUUUUUUGAUAAUUUUGAUUCAUUGUGGAAUCAAACACAAUAUCAAUGUCACUAUUUAUGGAGAGUGUAUUGUCAUUAAAAAAGUAUUUAUUGACUAAUUUUCUCUCAAAGAAUAAAAAAAGGAUGAAGAUGCUCUGUUGAAGGAAAUUUUAAUUAAUGUAAAAUUGAUUUCAUAUUUGUGAUUCUAAACAUAAUAAUAUCUUUUUCAUAAAAUUUAAAAAAUUAAAUUAUUUUAAUAAAUAAAAUAUAAAUUUUCACUAAACAAAAUUUUAAGCAUAAUAUCCAACACCUUUAUCCUUGGAGGCCAAUCCCUGUGAGAACAACAACCAGAGCAGGGCGCGAGCAAGCACCCACUAGGAGAAUAAACAAAAUUGAUCACAUAAAGGACCCCUGUAACAAAAGACAAAUUCAGUGUGAACAAUCAACAAAAGUUGGCCCCCAGAAGCAAUCAAAAAACUUGUCAAGAGCAGCUGCAAAAGAAAUGAAAGUCACACUUUUUAUUUUUUCUUUGUGCUCCUAUAUAAGCAAAUGGGCGGUGGAAUCAUCGAUUCACUUUUGAAUUAUUAAUAUUUUUUUAUCAUUUUUUAAUUACUUUUCAGUAUUUAUUUUUAACCAACUUAAUUAGUUUGUAUGAAAAACAAUUAAUUCUCUUUGUAAGCAAAAACUAUUAUUAUUAUUUCGUAAAUGUUGUUAAGAGUAAACACUACACUUGAUUAUCCUUAUUUAUAAUUCAUUUGUAAUUAAACAUUAUUUGGUGAAUUCUCUUGUAAUAAAGAGUAAUGACUUACUUUUAAAAGCUUUUUGUGAACUUGUUGCCUGCCUAAAUCAAUUAAGUUGGACAUGGAAAAAAAUUUAGUGCCAAUUUUGCAUGUAAAGUUUGCAGAUGUAUACUCAAAUGCAAAAACCAAGAGCCAUAGAAGAAAAUGAUGCACAUAUAUACCAAGGAAAGACGAAGUUUGAGGAGCCAAGGCUAAGCUUCUAUUUUUAUCAAAGAAAACUGAAAUAGAAAUCAAGUUUGCUCUACAAUAAUCAGAAGCCCACUAGCAGAGGGAAUUAAGAAGCAACAGUUAAUUCUUCUUCAGCUAGCAAAAACACUGGAAUACAGGAGAUAAAAUUUCGAAUAAAUGAUGUGAUUCCUUAUUAUUGUCCUUUAUAUUUUUGUCAUUUUACAAUCAUUUUUUUCUUCAGAUCCAUUUAUUUCUCACCUACUUGCUUAAUGGCUUUCAUGAAAAAAUAGUUGAUGCCAAAAACGAAACCUUAUCCUUCAAUAACCAGAAAUCAACUUUGCACUACAAUAACCAGAAGCCCGCUAGCAAAAGGAAUUAUGGAACAACCGUUUAUCCUUCUUCAGGUAGCAAAAACAAUUGAAUACAGAAACUCCAAGGCAGGAGAGAAAAUUUUGAAUAAAUGAUGUGAUCCUUCUAUUUUUGUCAUUUUGCAAUCAUUUUCCCCUUGAGCUUCCAUGUGUUUCUCACCUUUAAAUAGUAUUAUUCUUUCAAACAAAAGAAUACCAUCGAAAACAGGAGCCACAGCCAUUUGGCCAUUAGAUAGUUGAUGCUCCUCCCAUCUUUUUCCUUUCUUCUUGUGGUCUAUGAGGUGAUCUCUUAUCCAAAACUGAAAACGAAACAUCAAUUAAGAUGCUGGGUAGUAAAUAGGUGAAGCUUUCUUUCCAUUCUGAUGCAGUCACAGGUCCUAAUUUGCACAUCCUUUUCUUCUGAGUGAGCUGUCAUUAGUCACGGUAUCAUGUAGAAGGGUCUAUUUCAUUAAUAAAAUUGUUGAUUUUCAAAAAUAUAAAAUAAAAAUAUUUAAAGAGUGUUAUAGCCUUUUAUUUUGCUUUAAACUUUUUUUAUUUUUUAUUAAUUAAAAAGAUGAAAAUUGACAGUUUCUUUGUAGCUUUUGUCAAUGCGACAAGACAUUAUAUUGAUACCUACAAGUAUGAGUAAUUGACGUGAUCUCUCUAUUAUUGUCCUUUAUGUUUGUUAUUUCCCUGUUGUGUACAUUUAAUGGCUUUCAUGAAAAAAUCUCUCUCUGGCUACAAACUUGAUAGGACCAAAGGAUUAGAAUACCGAUAUCAACCAACCAAUUUACUAGAUAAUGGAUGCAUAUAUGGACAAAUAUAUUUAUAAAUAUUGAUAAAAAAAGUGUAAAAAUGAUGAAAAUAUACAGUAAAUGUUAGAAAUUUAGAAUCAAAUUUAGCAUAUGUUUAUACAUAUUUUAGAAUUAUAGUAUAAAAAUUAUAUCAUACUAAUUAACUCUACACAUAGUAUAUUGUUAAAUAUUUAUAGGGUAAAAAAAAAUCUCUAUUAUAUUAUAAUUUAUAUUAUAAAUAUGGAAAUAAAUUGAAGCUAAUUUGUGAAAUAUUGAUUUCCAAACCCAAAUAUUAAAAGCCGAACCGAUUAAUAAUACCUAAUACCAUAUUGAAUUCUAAUUAAUUGAAAAUAUUUGGCUUCAUGUUUAUGCACCUAAACAUAAUAAUAUCUUCUUAGUAAGAUUUCAAGAUAUUGAAUCUUUAUAAACCUAUUGAAAAUAGAAUAAAAAUCAACAAGCGUCAUUUGAAUUACUUUAAUGAAGCAUAAUGUAACAACUCAAGUUCAAGUAUUCGUCUAGCAACUAAGCCACGUGGUCCUCAAGUUGCUAAUAAUAAUGGAUUUGAAUUGUUAUAUAGGUUUUAACAAUCAUAUUCACAUAAGAUGUAGGCAAUGGAGUAUCACAAUCCCACUCAUUGAAAUCCUUGAUGUUCUUAUUAAGGCAUUCGCAAGACCAAGAUCCCCCACGUCAAACUGGUGUAAGCUCUGAUGCUAUUUAUAACAACCUAAAUCUAAGCACUAACCCAACAACCUUUUAGGCUUCAGUCGCAUGAUUCUUAAAAGCUCAAGUUCUAGUAGUAAUAGACGUGGCUUUUUAUAUAAGUGUUAAUAAUCACAUUCAAAUAAGAUGUGAGAUGUGGGGUAUCACACAUAAAUACUCCUAAAGAAAUAUUAUCAACAUUUUCUAUUAUUUAGAUCAUUUUGAUGAAAAUAUUUUCCAUCAUCAUUGGUGAAGUUAUUUGGGUGUUAAAAUGAUAAAUAGGAGUUGAUUACAAAAUAAUGAGGCCAUUAGGUUUUCACAUUAAAAUUAAGAAUGGAAAUGAAAAUGAGCAAAAUUAAUAAUAAUAUUUUUCAGUGCAUUUAACCACAUAUUAUAAAGAAAGUAAGUUUCAAUUUUGAAAAAAUUUCUAUCUCAUCAUUGUUUUAUCAUAACAUUAUAAAAAUAUCGAUAUUUAUCAAUUAUGUAAAACAUUCAAAACUUAUAUUUAUAAAUGUGUAUUCAUUAAAUGACGAUCUUUGAAAUAUUUUUUGUUAUAAUUAUUAGUAAGAUUUAUUCAAUUUAUAAAUAAAAAUAUUAAUUGCAUUAAAUGAUUUCAUUAAAAAGUAUGUUUUAAAAUUUUAACAGUAUUCAAUAAUUUAAAUAUUAAUAUUUUAAAUUAAUUUUUUUAAAAUUAAAUAUUUUUAUUUUUAUUUUUUUAAUAUUUUAAAUUAAAUAUGAAUAUUCUUCAAACUUAUUAUCCCAAGUUUAAUAUAAGAAAAGUUUUUUUAUUCUUUAGGAAAUGUCUUACGCCGCUGUAUGUUCAGGGACUCGAUUUCCUCUUGAUAACGCUUUUGUCAUUUGGAACAAUUAAGCCCUUUUGUACGUAUACUACUCAUUUUAUCUUCAUAGCUUGACUUUUUAUGUCACUAUAAGUCUUUUAUCUACAAGAUUCAAGACUUAUUAUGAAAUAUAAAUUUUUAAAAUUAAAAAAUUUCUACUUUUAAAAAAAAAUUAAUUAUAAUUGGUAUGGUUGGUCAUUUAAUGGCUUUCAUGUAGCGCAUUACUUAUUGGAAAUAGAAAAUAUCUUUUCAAAUGUAAAACCAUAGAAGAAAAGGAUGAACAUUUACUGAACAUCUCUUUAUUGUUUUUUAAACUGUUUCUUUUCUUGGUGAUAUGCUUUUUCUCUUUCAUUCCUGCCUUAUUUUUGCUAAAACCUUUGCUUUGCGUCAAACACCUCCUUUUAUUUACUCAUUAAGAAGGUGGAUUUGAUCAUCUUAUUUUUGCCCUUUUAAUAGUUACUUACUCACUAUUAUUGAUCAUCUUAUUUAUUGAUCCUUUAUUAUUGUCAUUUUCUGUAAUUUUCUCAUCUACUUGGUUGGUUGGUUUAAUGAUUUUCAUGGAAAAACACUUGCACUAAUUAUUUUCUCUUUGGGAUUAAAUUUUAUGAUCAAAUUAUGCCCUCAAGGGAUUCAAAAUUUAAUUACAAAAUAUAAAAAGGUUCAAGAUUCAAAUUAAUAUUUUUCUAAAUUUUUCCUCCCUCCUAAUGUAUUGAAAGAAGUACAGAUAAAAAAUGCAUCCAAAGAAAUAACUAAUUUAGAUUAUUUAAGACAAAUAUUUUAUUUGACUAAAGAAAAUAAGGCGUUAUUUUCAAAAAUUUUAUAAUAAUUGUCUCUAAAUUUUUUAUUGUCCUCUGUAAGGGCCUACAAUUAUUUGAUAGUUCUAGGGACCUAGAUUAUUCACACAAAUUAUGGAAAAAUUCUCCAUCCAUUAAAUUAAAUCUCCUGGCCAAAAACAAAACUUUAUCCUUCAAUAACCAGAAAAUCAACUUUGCACUACAAUAACCAGAAGCCUACUAACAAAAGGAACCGUUUAUCCUUCUUCGGGUAGCAAAGACAAUUGAAUACAGAAACUCCAAGGCAGGAGAGAAAAUUUUAAAUAAAUGUUGUGAUCCCUCUAUUUUGUCAUGUUACAAUCAUUUUUCCCUUGAGCACCAUCUAUUUCUCACCUUUAAAUAGUAUUAUUCUUUCAAACAAAAGAAUACCAUCAAAAACAGGAGCCACAGCCUUUUGGCCUUUAGAUAAGUUGAUGCUCCUCCCAUCUUUUUCCUUUCUUCUUGUGGUGUAUGAGGUGAUCUCUUAUCCAAAACUGAAAAAGAAACAUCAAUAAAGAUGCUGGGUAGUAAAUAGUUGAAGCAAAUAGGUGACGCUUUCUUUCCAUUCUGAUGCUGUCACAGGUCCUAAUUUGUACAUCCUUUUCUUCUGGGUGAGUUGUCGUUAGUUACAGUAACGUGUAGAAGGGUCUAGUUCAUUAAUAAAAUUGUUGAUUUUCAAAAAUAUAAAAUAAAAAUAUUUAAAGAGUAUUAUAGUUUUUUGUUUUGCUUUAAACUUUUUUAUUUUUAAUUAAUUAAAAAGAUGAAAAUUGACAGUUUCUUUAUAGCUUUUGUUAAUGCGACAAGACAUUAUAUUGAUACCUCCAAGUAUGAAUAAUUGACGUGAUCUCUCUAUUAUUGUCCUUUAUAUUUGUUAUUUCCCUUUUAUGUACAUUUAAUGGCUUUCAUCAAAAAAUAUCUCUCUAGCUACAAACUGUUUAGGACCAAAGGAUUAGAAUACCGAUAUCAACCAACCAAUUUACUAGAUAAUGGUUGCAUAUAUGGACAAAUAUAUUCAUAAAUAUCGAUAAAAAAAUGCAUAAAAAUGAUGAAAAUAUAUAGUAAAUGCUAGAAAUUUAGAAUGAAAUUCAGCAUAUAUUUAUGCAUAUUUUAGAGUUAUAAUAUAAAAAUUAUAUCAUACUAAUUAACUCUACACAUAAUAUAUUAUUAAAUAUUUAUAAGGUAAAAAAAAAGAAAAUUUCUGAAGAAUAACCCUCCUUGAUAAGAGCAUUUAAAAAAUAAUCAUUAAAAUAAAUUUAACUGUUUUUAACCAUAUUUAGCCAUGAUUUGAUAAAAAUACCCUUGAAACUAUUUCAAAUAAAUUAAACCAUUCAUCACAAUUUUUUUCCAUUUCUGCUUCCGAUUUCUCUCUCUCACCAUCAAGCUCUCUCUAAUUUUAUCGAUUUCUCUUUUCGGCAUUCAUCUACUAUACUCUUAAUUACUCUCUCUCACACUUUUAAAUUUUUCUCUCCUACGCUUUCAAGACACCAAGUGACGAUUUUAAUGUGCUUGGAGUAGGUGGCUAUUUGAAAAUUUUGAUUUUUAAAUAUUUUAGAUAAAACUAAAACAGUAAAAAUUAUCACAGAUGUUUGAAAUAGCUUUUAAAUGGAUCAAUUCGAGGACCUAGACAUGAAUAUACUUAAGAAUUUGAAAAUUAUAAACUUAGGUUUUUAAAGGAAUUUUUUUAUUUUUAGUCAAAAUAGGUGUUUUAGAUAAGAAAAUUUAUGUUUUGAUUUAUGAAAUAUGUUAGAAACACUUUAAUCGGUACCAAAUUGUUAAAAAAACAAAAAAAAAAUGAAAAGAGUUUAGAGGAUUUGAAGUUUUAGUUUGUAAGUAACAACAACAUUUUAAGCAUUACAGUAUAACAAAAUGUUUUUGAACAUAGAGUGUAAUAAUAAUAUUUUUUUAACAUGCGGUCAAACUAUAACAUUUUUUUCAACAUGGCGUGUAACAACUUUUUUUAACCAUGACAUAUAACAUGUUUUUGCAUAUGGCAUGUAUCAACAAUAAUUAUUUUUUCAACAUUGCGUGUAACAACCUUUUUUAACCAUAACCUAUAAUAUAUUUUUGUAUAUGGCGUGUAACAACCUUUUUUAACCAUGACGUGUAACAUGUUUUUGUACAUGACAUGUAACAACAAUAAUUUUUUUUUCAACAUGGCAUGUAACAACUUUUUUUAAUUAUGACGUGUAACAUAAUUUUGUACGUGGUGUGUAAUAUCAUGGGGUGCAGUUUCAUUAAUGGUGAUUUUAUCCAAUUUGGAUAAAAACAGUUAAAAUUAUAAAGAAGGUUAUUUUUGAAAAUAUUUUAUCUUUAAGGGUUAUUUUCAAAAAUACCCCCAAAAAAAUCUGUAUUAUAUUAUAAUUUAUAUCAUAAUAUAGAAAUAAAUUGAAGCUAAUUUGUGAAAUAUUGAUUUCCAAAGCCAAAUAUUAAAAGCCGAACAGAUUAAUAAUACCUAAUACCAUAUUGAAUUCUAAUUAAUGGAAAAUAUUUGGCUUCAUGUUUAUACUCCGAAACAUAAUAAUGUCUUCUUUGUAAGAUUUCAAGAUAUUGAAUCUUUAUAAACCUAUUGAAAAUAGAAAAAAAUCAACAAGCUUCAUUUAAAUUACUUUAAUGAAGUAUAAUGUAACAACUUAAGUCCAAGCAUUAGCCCAACAACUAAACCACAUAGCCCUCAAGUUGCUAGUAAUAAUGGAUUUAAAUUGUUUUAUAUGAGAUUGAACUAGUAUAGGCUUUGAUAUUAUUUGUAACAAUCCAAGUCCAAGCACUAGCCUAGUAACUUUUCAAGCCUGAAUCACAUGGUUCUUAAAAGCUCAAGUUACUAGUAGUAAUAGACUUGACUUAUUAUUAGGUCUUAACAAUCACAUUUAAAUAAGAUGUGGGAUGUGUGGUAUCACACAUAAAUACUCUUAAAGAAAAAUUAUCAUGAUUCAAAAAGCAAUUAAGGGUCUGUUUGGUAAUAAGAAAAUAACUUGUUGGGAGAAAAAUUUUUUUGUGUAAAAUAUUUUAUAGGAGAAUCUAAUAUUUCAUAUUGUUUGGAUAAGUUGUUAAAAACAUUUUCUAUUGGGUAAAAUACCUUGGCCCCCCUAAAUUUUGUUUGAAAUUAUACAGAGAUUUAUUAGUUUUCGAAAUGGACAUUCUACCCUAAGACAACAAACACCGCUAACAGAAAUAAUGAAAAGACUAAAAUAUCUUUUUUUUUUUAAAUAAAAAAAUAGGGAGCCUCGGUGCUCCCCUUGGGGAGCUUGAUUGGGGGCUCUUUAAGCACUGGUGCUCCAUUCGGGAGCCUGAUUUGGGGCUCCCCCGGUGCUCCCCAAUGGGGAGCUAUUUUUUUUUAUUAAUAAAAAAUAAUAAAAUUAUAUAAUUGUAAUUAUAAGAAUUAAUCAAGUGUAAAAUUAUCUUUCUACCCUUCCUACGUUAGCAUGUUGACGAAAAUACUAACUGUUAGACCUACGUGUUUAGCAAAAAAUAUUUUUUUGAGACAGAGUGUCUAUUUUGAAAACUAAUGGACCUUUAUGUAAUUUCGAUCAAAACUUAGGGGGGUUAGGGUAUUUUAUUCUUUUUCUAUUAUUUGGAUCACCUUGAUGAAAAUAUUUUCCACCAUCAUUGGUGGAGUUAUUUGGGUGUUAAAAUGAUAAAUAGGAGUUGAUUACAAAACAAUAAGGCCAUUAGGUUUUCACAGUAAAAUUAAGAAUGGAAAUGAAAAUGGAAAAAAUUAAUAAUGAUAUUUUCCAAUGCAUUUAACCACAUAUUAUAAUAAAGGUAAGCUUCAAUUUUCAAAAAAACUUCUAUCUCAUCAUUUUUUUACCAUAACAUUAUAAAAAUAUCAAUAUUUAUCAAUUAUAUAAAACAUCCAAAACCUUUAUUUAUAAAUGUGUAUUAAUUAAAUGACGAUUUUUGAAAUAUAUUUUGUUAUAAUUAUUAGUAAGACUUAUUCAAUUUAUAAAUAAAAAUAUUAAUUGUUUUGAAUGAUUUCAUUAAAAAAAAUAUUUUUUAAAUUUGAAUUGUAUUGAAUAAUUUAAAUUUUAAUAUUUUAAAAUAAAAUUUUUAAUUAAAUAUUGAUUUUUUUAUUUUUUUAAUAUUUUAAAUUAAAUAUUAAUAUUCAUUAAAUUUGUGUGCUAAGUUUAGUAUAAAAGCAGUUUUUUUGUUCUCCGGGAAAUGUCUUAUGCCUCUGUUUGUUUAAGGGCUCGAUUUCCCCUUGAUAACGCUUUAUCAUUUGGAGUAGUUAAGCCCUUUUGUAAGUGUACUACUCCUUUUAUCUUCAUAGCUUAACUUCUUAUGUCACUAAAAGUUUUUUGUUUACAAGAUUCAAGACUUAUUACGACAUGCAAGCUUUCAGAAUUAAAAAAAAUUUCUAAUUUCAAAAUAAAAAUUAAUUAUAAUUGGUAUGAUUGGUCAAUUAAUGGCUUUCAUGUAGCGCAUUACUUAUUGGAAAUAGAAAAUAUCUUUCCAAAUGUAAAACCAUAGAAGAAAAAGAUGAACAUUUAUAAAACAUCUCUUUAUUGUUUUUUAAACUCUUUCUUUUCUUGGUGGUAUGCUUUUUCUCUGUCAUUCCUGCCUUAUAUUUGCUUAACCCUUUGCUUUGCUUCAAACACCUCCUUUUAUUUACUCAUUAAGAAGGUGGAUUUGAUCAUCUUAUUUUUGCCCUUUUAAUAGUUACUUACUCACUAUUGAUGUGAUGAAAAGACGAGAAAAAAUGACAGUUUCUUCACAGCUUUUGUUAAAAAGACAUAAUGCGUUCAUACUUAAAUAAACUAAUUACACCUUUAUUAUUGUCGCUUUCUGUAAUUUUCUCUUCUACUUGGUUGGUUGGUUUAAUGGAUUUCAUGUAAAAAUACUUGCACUAUUUAUUUUAUUUUUGGGAUUAAAUUUUAUGAUCAAAUUAUGCCCCAAGGGACUCAAAAUUAAAUGACAAAAUUAUUUGAUAGUUCUAUGGACAUAGUACCUAGAUUUUUCAGACAAAUUAAGGCAGAAUUCCCCAGCCCUUAAAUUAAAUCUCCCGGCCAAAAACAAAAUAAAACUCUACAAAAUCCAUGUUUGAGAAUCGUCAUAGCUCCUCCUUCCUAUGUUGCGUGGACUAUCUCUUGAUCAUAGUUUGCUUAUCCAUGUUUGAGAAUGGCUAAGGAUGUUAGUACUAAUUGGUAAGAGACAAAUACAAGUUUUUAGCUCUCAGCUUCACACAAAUGCCAUGGGUGGAGUGUAACUGUAUCAAAUCAAAAGAGUUAAUUUUGACAUACAAAAUAAUUCAGUGCCAAUUUUACAUGUAAAGUAUGUAGAUGUAUACUCAAUUGCAAAAACCAAGAGCCAUAGAAGAAAAUGAUGCACAUAUAUACCAAGAAAAUCCGAAGUUUCAGGAGCCAAGGCUAAGCUUCUAUAUAUUUUGAUAAAAGAAAACUCAAGUAGAAAUCAAGUUUGCAUUAAAAUGAUCAGAAGCCCACUAGCAGAGGGAAUUAAGAAACAACAGAUAAUUCUUCUUUUGGCAGCAAAAACACUUAAUACAGACACUUCAUAAAGGUGGGAGCAGCUUUUUGCUUUGUUCCUUUGGUCUAUGAGCUGAUAGUCUUGAUUAUCUCUAAUCCAAAAUUGACAAAGAAUUAAAUCCAACGCGGUUUGAGGUGGUGGGUAGUAAAUGGGUGCAGCUUUCUUUCUAUUCUGACGCUGUCGCUGGUCCUUUCUACAUCCUUUUCUUCUCAUGUAUAAGGGUCCAGUUCAUUAAUAAAAUUUGUUGAUCACAAACCAAUAACACACUUGAAUACAGAAACUCCAAGGCAGGAUAGAAAUUUUCGAAUAAUUGAUGCUGAUCUUUCUAUUUUUGUUCUUUAUAUUUUGGACCAUUACUUUUCAACCUACUUGAUUGGCUGUUUAAAUGGCUUUCAUGAAAAACUAUCUUUACACCAUAAAAAUAGAAAUAAAUUGAACAAAUUUGUAAUAUAUUAAUUUUCAAUGACACCAAAUAUUAAAAACUUUGAACCGAUUAAUAAUACCAAGUACCCAUAUUGAAUUCUAACAAUUGAAAAAUUAGUUUCAUGUUUAUGCUCUAAACAUAAUAGUAUCUUCUCCAUAAGAUUUUAAGAUAUUAAACGUUUAUAGACCAAUUGAAAAUAGAAAAAAGAUCAAGCAACUUCCUUUGAUUUAUCUUAAUAAAGCAUAAAUUUCUCCUAAAAAAAAUUUACUCUGAUUCAAAAAGCAAUUAAGUUUACACCUUUAACUAUUUUUUUCUUGUGCUCUUACAAAAUUUGUGAAGAAAACUAAUUUGUCAUUAUCAAAAUUGUUAGAUUCUUCACGGCUUUUACUAAUGUGACAUGACAUCAUUGAUGCAAUUUUAAAUUAUUAAUUCUUCUAAUUUUAUUACUAUUUCAAUUAUUUUUCAGCAUUUAUUUCUUACCAACUUACUUGGUUGGCAGGUUUACCUGGAAAAAGCACAUGACUCUUAAGAGUAAAACUACUAUUAUUACAAACACUUCCUUUUUUUCAUGGAAAAACACUCGCACUAUUUAUUUUGUUUUUGGAAUUAAAUUCUGUUAUCAAAUAUUUAUGCCCCCAAGGGAUUCAAAAUUUAAGGACAAAAUAUGAAAAGGUUCAAGAUUCAAUCUAAAUUUUUUUCCUCCCUUGAAUUAUCCUAUUGUAUUGAAAGAAGUACAAAAUCCAUGAUUGAGAAUACCAUAAAAAUUGGGGCCACGGCCGACCUUUCGGCCUUUAGAUAGUUGAUGCUCCUCCCAUCUUUUUCCCCUGCUCUUGUGGUCUAUGAGGUGAUCCCUUAUCCAAAACUGACUAAGAAACAUCAAUUAAGCUGGUGGGUAGAAAAUAGGUGUAGCUUUCUUUCCAUGCUGACGCUGUCGCAGGUCCUCAUUUGUAUAUCCUUUUCUUCUGAGUGCUCAUUAGUCACAGCAUCGUGUAGAAGGAUCCAGUUCAUUAAUAAAAUUGUUGAUUUUCAAAAAUAUAAAAGCAAAAAAAUUUAAAGAGUAUCAUAGCUUUUUAUUUUGCUUCAAACUUUUUUUUAAUUUUUUUUAUUAAUUAAGAAGAUUAAGAUUGACAGUUUUUUUGAAGUUUUUGUUAAUGCGACAUGACAUUGUAUUGACACCUACAAAUAUGAAUAAUUGACGUGAUCUCUCUAUUAUUGUCCUUUAUAUUCGUUAUUUCCCUUUUAUGUCCAUUUAAUAGCUUUCAUGGAAAAAUAUCUCUCUAGCUACAAACUGGAUAGAACCAAAGGAUUAGAAUACCGAUAUCAACCAACCAGUUUACUGGAUAAUAGAUGCAUAUAUGGACAAAUAUAAAUAUAUUCAUAAAUAUCGAUAAAAAAUAGGUAAAAAUGAUGAAAUAUAUAGUAAAUGUUAGAAAUUUAGAAUGAAAUUUGGCAUAUGUUUAUACAUAUUUUAGAGUCAUAAUAUAAAAAUAAUAUCAUACUAAUUAACUCUACACAUCGUAUAUUAUUAAAUAUUUAUAGGGUCAAAAAAUAAAUAAUCUAUAUUAUGUUGAAAUGUAUAUCAUAAAUAUUGAAAUAAAUUGAAACAAAUUUGUGAAGAAUUGAUUUCAAAACCCAAAUAUUAAAAGCCCAAUCAAUUAAUAAUACUUAAUGUAUUGAAAGAAUUACAAAAUCCCUGAUUGAGAAUCGCCAUAGAUCCUCCUUCCUAAGUUGCAUGGAAUAUCUCUUGAUCAUAGUUUGCUUAUCCAUGUUUGAGCAUGGCUAAGGAUGUUAGUAGUAAUCGUUUAAGCCAAAGAAAUAGUGAAUCAAAGGAAAGAGCCUAACUUCCCCUGCCUCGCUUUAAAGGAAAGAGCCUAACUUCCCCUGCCCCGCUUUAAAGGAAAGAGCCUAACUUCCCCUGCCCCGCUUUUGUAGGAUCAGGGGAUGAACAUAGAUAUUUGACAAGCUUCAAUCAGUUGAAGCUAGAUUCCAAAUUCCAUAGUCUCUGCAACAUACAAAUAGUUAGUGAAAGUUCAGAUUUUUGCACUUGACAUGAUUCGGUAUGGUUUAAAAGAUUGUAUUGAUGGGUCUGCUUCAUUAGUUUUUCCCACGGUUUGUAACACAAAAGAAAAGGUAUAGCAACGCCGCUUCAUCUAUCAAGAAUAUAUUUAUAUAAAAUUAUAAAUAACAUCUCAUUAAAUUAAUUAUAAGAUCGUCACAGCAAAAUCAAGCAUGGAAAACCAUGAGAAAUUUGUUUCAUCUCUGAAUCAGACAUGCAAGUAAACAUAACUAUGGUUGUGUGAUUGUUCUGGGGAUUGGUUGGUGUUUCGGUCACUGGCUUCUUCUUGGGUUGGUUGUGUGAUUGUGUGAUGUUUUCAUCUGCUUUGGUUAGGAAGAUUAUUUUCCCAGGAAGAGUUCCGACGUCUCUAAGUGGUUCAGGUUUUGAAUGAUAGGCUUGUGCUCGUUGUUUGAUGCUAGAGUUCAAUGGCGAGCUUUUUCCUUAUAUAUUGUUUUAUGCCAACUGGUUGCUUUUGUGUUCAGUGGCAAGUUGUGUAUAUCCUUUUGAUCUUUCCCAUGCCAGUUUUUUUUAUGCCAACCAUUAUUAGGUUUUUUUUUUAUUUGGGGAUGAGCUGAUUUGAAGCUUGCUUUUUGAGUAAAGAAUCAUACAUCAAUUAUUGAGUUAAAUAUGUGAGAAUCAUUAUUAAUUAAUUUAUUUUGAAAGAUAAUUAAUUAGUUUUACAUAUAAUUUUUAUGAAUAUAUACCGGAUUUGGUGCUUCUCAGUCAGAUCCUCAUGAUCGAAUCUGGCACUCCAUGGUCAUAUUUGAUCACGGGAAAUGCCGAUUUGGCACAUCCUGGUGGUUAGAUGGUGUGCUAGAUCGGCAUUUCAUUACACUAGCCACAUUUUCGGUGAUUGGCCAACGGACAAAAAGAAAGGAGAAAGAGAACAAGAGAAAAAAAAUUAAAAUAAAAAAGUUGAAAAAUUAUUUAUAAAUUAUAAACAAUUAAUAUUUUAAUAUUUUAAUCAUAACAAUGUUUAAAUAUAAAUAAAAUAUGAAAAUUUUAAAAUAUAAAUGUUUACCUUAUUAAAUUAUUAAUAUAUUAAAUUUGUAAGGAAAGAAUAAAUAAAAAAUUAAAAAAAUGCAAAUAAAGAAAAAUAAAAAUUAUACUAAUAUUUUAAUAAUAAAUUAUUAAAAUUUUAAAUUUUUAAUGAAAAUAAAAAUAAAAUGAUUAAAAAGAAAAAUUUUACUUAUUUUUGUCUUUUGGUAUAAAUUUUACUAAAUUAUGUAAAGGGUAAUUUUGUUGUUUUAUAAAAUAAAUCUUAUUAUAAUAAAAAAUUUAAAUUUUUUAAUUAUAUAUUAUAAAAUUAAUAUUUUAAAUUUGCUAGCGGUAUGGGCAAAUCCUCCUUUUAUUAUUUAAAAUUUUUUUAUAUUAUAUAAAAAUUUACUAUAUUUUUUAUAUUUUUAAUAACUCUUUAAAAAUAUUUUUAUUUAAUAAUUAAUAUAAAUAAAAAAAUAAAAUUAUCUAUAUACCUUACUUAAUUUUAAAGUUUUUUUCUUUUAAUUUAUAUUAUUAUUUAUAUUUAUAUUUUUUAUCUUUUUUAUUUCUAUUGUAUUUGCUUAUAUAUUUUAAGUUUAUAUAAAUUUUCUUUUUCAAAUUUCGAUUAACCAUCAACCAUAUUCUAUUUUUUUCUUUUUUAUUAUGUUAUAUGUGGAUUUUAUCUUCUACUUAUCAUAUUCUUCUUUUCACUGUUAUGUGAAUUUUAUUUUUUAUAAUUUUAAUUUUUAAAAUUUAAUAAAUUAUUAUGUAAUUUUAAAAUAUAAGUUGUAGUAUUGCACUGUUGGUUAAAAUUUAAUCCAUGUAUCAUUUUUUUUAUUAAACCUGAUUAUGCAAGAGAAAAUUUUCUUGAGUAUAUCUUUUUUAUGUGAUUUACGUUUUAUAUUUAGUUGAAAGCAAAUUAUCUUGAAUAUAUAGUUUUUAAACAAUAUUGAUUAUAUAAUAAGAAAUUAUUAAUUUUGUAUAUCGUAUUUAACCAUUUAUAUUUUAUACAUUAUAGUUUUAUAUUUAGUAUUAUAAAUUUAAAUAGAAAGAAAAUAAGAAUAUUAGAUAUUAACUAGAUUAAUUUUUUUUUCAAAGUUUGAUUAAAGUAUAAGUCACUACAACAUUUUUAUUCUUUUAUUGCAAAAUUUUAGAUGCAUUUUUUCUUAUGUAACUAAAUUCAUCAUAUUACUCUUGAUACAUUUUAUUUAAUUACACUAUCUAAAGUGUAAUCCCAUAAAAAAAUUAAGAAGAGAAAAGCUCACAAAAUAAAAGCAGCCAACAGCCUAACAAAAAACAAACAAAAGCCCCUUGCCCUUUACGUGGUCAAAUAGACUAUAUUUUUCACCUAUGACUGCAAUAUUUUUUGUAGCCAAAGGUCAACAAUGUUGUAGUGAGUAAGGUGAAAAUAAUUGACAAAUUCUUUAAAAGAAAAGAUUAAGUCAUCCAAAUGAUUCUCAUACACUUAAGCACUGUAUCAAAUAAAUAAAAAUCAGUAAUAGUGCAGAGAAGUAGUAUAGCAUAUAUCAAAUAAACAACAAUCAGUAAUAGUGCAGAGCACUAUUAUUUCUCCUCAUCCCCUAAUUGUUGCUCUAGUUCUGAAGGACCUUCUACUGUGAUUAUUUCUAGUUUUGGCAGAGCAACACUAACUGGAAAUAGACAUUUCAGUUUAUUGCAGCCUGCAAUUUUGGUUUUAUUCAGUGCAAAUAAACAUAUAGGUUGGAAAUGAAUCCUUUGAUUAUGAUGAUCCAACUCUAGGUGCAUGUAGAAAUGAGCCAAUCCCAUUUUAUAGUUCUUUGUACUAGUAUUUUCUUUUAGUAAUGAGUAAUUACUUCAUUUUAAUUGCUCUAUGUGAGCUUGCCGCUGGGCUAUGCUAUCAUGGCCAGAUCAUAUAAAUUGGAGUAGCAAUCAAACUCUCAAUAUUUCAAUAAAUCACUCACAACCUUCACUUAAUAAAAUAUGCCUGGUUUUAAUUUUCCAUGUCUUGGUUUCCUACAUAGCAGACUUGCACAACUUAUUCACUAAAAAUUUAAAAUACAAAAAUAAAGAUAAGAAAGAGAGGAAUUUCACUUUUAUUCUUCCACUUAUUGUACAUAUAGGAUACAAUAACAGCUGCAAGAGAGAGCAACAAUACACUAAUUGACUAAAUUACUGAAAGCAUGCGAUCCGUUCCCUUGACAACUCCAUUAAGCAAAUACCUUUGGGUUACAUUUUGUUUAAGGAAACAACGAAUAAUAGAAAUGAAGAAAAUCAGCACUACGAGGAAGAAAGCAUGUAAGCACUAAGCAACUAGCUGGACAUUCCUUACCUAAAAAAAUGAUUUGUUCAUAUAAUAUUUUGAAUAAUUUGUAAUAUUUAAGAGUCUUAUAUUGAAAGAUAAUUAUUCAAAUGUGAUCGUUCAAAUUAAAAUAUAAUACUUUGAAUAAUGCACAGGUGUUUUCAACAAAAACAAUUAUUGAAAAUUGAUCAGUGAAAUACGUUUGUUGAAACACAAUAAACACAUUUAUAAAAACACAAUAGCCAUAUUUGUUAAAACACAACAGGCACAACUUUUCAGUGUCUAUAAAAAAAAGUACUUCCAAAAUAAACUUCAUCUUCAAAAAAAUAUUCUACGUAGGCUUAUUGUAUCUUGGAAAGUUUUUGUAUACAAAUCCCCAUAAUAACUAACAACUUUUUAAAGAAAAUGUGUUACAAUACACCUCAAGCUUUCGUAAUAUCCCUUUCUUAUACUACUUAUCCUAACAUAAUAAAUAAACUAAUUAAUAAAACCAAUUGACUGCUUGAUUCAAAGUUUUAAACUAGAGAAAGUUUGACAUGUAUACACUUCACUUGCGUCAUCAUCAAUUAAUUUCACACUUUGUUUAAGAAAUACUAGCCUAAUCUCACCCCAUAUACAUAAAUGAAAUAAAACAAGGACAAAUAUUGUGAGAUUUGAACUUUUGUAUUUAACAGAUAAUUAAUAUCUCAAACUCGAAAAUCUGAAGCUCUUAAAGCACAUUGACAAAAGCUAAGCUAAAAAGAAUUUCUGAAAACAUCCAGAGAUAACACACUUAUUACGCAUUGAAGAUAAAGUUUUGUCAAUUGUGUUUUUCCUUGAGAAAGUUUUAAGGAAAAUGAUCCUAAUAAAAAAUAAUAUAAGAAAUAGUUUUGGUCAGGUCAUUUCCACUGAAUUGAUUAUAUCUGCUGCAAAGAUUGAUCAAGAAAUUUAUCAUUUGCACUAACCAAAUAUUCUGUAAACUAUUUCAAUCCUAUUACGUUUUCUCCAAAUAUCAACGAAAUUAAAAAUAUAGAGACAAAAUUCAUCAUUUGCAUUAACAAAAUAUUCCAUAAAAUAUUCUAAGUCUGUUGCCUGCUGUCUAAAAAUCUACUAAAUUAAAAAUACAGUGACAAAACACAAUAAAAUUAAAGCUAAAUAUAACAAUAAAAUUCAAUAUUAAAUUAUAAUAUACUGACAAACUUUACAUUAAUUCCGUCCUUUUUUCUUUCUUUUCCAUGGAUCACUGUGACGGCGUUGGCACAUGAGAGAUUAAGAUAGAGUGAGAAAUCUUGUGAUGCAUUUGUAGAAUAUUUUGGCUGUGCCAUAUAUCCUGCAUUUCGUCUUUCCUCAGUUCACAAGGAUCCAGGGAUAAGUCACUUGGAUCUUUCAUAAAAUAAAAAUCUACUUAACUUAUAUAGGGAAAUUAAAAUUUAUUUUCGCAUGUCUUGAAUAAGAAAUAGAAGAAUUUAACCCUUGUUCUUCUACUUGUUGUACAUACAGAAAGCAACAUAACAUUGAUUGGCUGAGGAAAAAAAACAUAACAUUGAUUGGAUAAAUUGUUGAAAGCAAGUGAUCCCGUCACUUGACAACUCCAUGAAACCAACAUCUGGACCAAUAAAAAGCACAAUAAUUUCAACUAUCUGUUUUUCUUUUUUUAUAUAUAUAUAAAUAAUAAAGGUUAGCACAAGUUAACCACCAAAACUUGAUUAGAAAUGAAAAUGGAAAGUAGCCUUUGUUUUACCUGUGUUUAGUUGAUGGCCCCAAUGUACUCAUUGAUGUUUAAAAAUGCCUUUGCAACUUCCCCUGCAACCAUCUCAUAAUUCUUCCUUGCAAGGUGGUAGCUCAGUAAGCCGAUACUGUGGGUCCUUCCGGUGCCAAUAUAUGUUCCGAUACGGUUUAAAAAUUUUGCAACCCUUGUGAUCAUCACCAAAUGGAAUUCCUAUAACCUUUAAGUCAAGUUCUUCCCAAACAUCAUCAAGAAUUAUAAGGAUGCUCUUCUCGUCAUUGAUUCUCAACUACAAUUGUUCUGCUCUUCCUUCUGGUGUCUUCUUUUGAAAAUCUAAAUCUAGGAAGUCUGCAAUUUUAUCUUGAAUAUUGUUGAUGUUUGGCUUUUGGGACAGAGUUACAGGCACAACUUUAUCGAAGAGUUGUUUGGCUUGGUUUCCCACUUCUUUUGCCAAAGUGGUUUUACCCACUCCUCCCAUCCCAUGUAGUCCAAUCAUGUUCACAUCACCAUUAUUCAGAGCCUCCAUGAUCUCUUUGAAAGCAGAAUUCGAAGAUUCAGAAGACAUGAAAUCCUUAGAUGGAAUGAACUCUAAUCCUGGGAGAGUAGCUCGGUAACCUACUCGUUCAAAAUUAGAAUUCUCUAAAAGUUGAGAGAUACGAAGUGUCUUCUUAGCUACUUUGAUACUUAAGCAGUAUCGCCAGCCCCAACUAGGACGCCAAUUGAAACACUUGUUACGUUCAAUUUCAUCUUCCAAACUCUGAGCUUCUCCCAAUUCUUUGUCUGCCCUUGUUAGCCACUCCUCAACGGCCUUCUCAAUUACCAGAGUUUGCUUUUUUGCCUCAGCGACAUCAUUUUUCACUCGAACUUUUCUCAAUUCAAGUUGAUUUCGUCGAUUCUUGAAAUCUUCAACAAUUUUGCCGAAAUGGAAAAAAUAACUGAGAUAAGGUGAUGCGUAUUCUGUUGCCAGGUUCCCCAGGGUAUUGGUUGCAACAGCGGUAACAGGUUCAGCCAUUCUUUGAUGAUC
rnacentral:lncRNA from 1 species